rnacentral:rRNA from 1 species
UGCAGUCGACGGCAGCACGGACUUCGGUCUGGUGGCGAGUGGCGAACGGGUGAGUAAUGUAUCGGAACGUGCCCAGUAGCGGGGGAUAACUACGCGAAAGCGUAGCUAAUACCGCAUACGCCCUACGGGGGAAAGCAGGGGAUCGUAAGACCUUGCACUAUUGGAGCGGCCGAUAUCGGAUUAGCUAGUUGGUGGGGUAACGGCUCACCAAGGCGACGAUCCGUAGCUGGUUUGAGAGGACGACCAGCCACACUGGGACUGAGACACGGCCCAGACUCCUACGGGAGGCAGCAGUGGGGAAUUUUGGACAAUGGGGGAAACCCUGAUCCAGCCAUCCCGCGUGUGCGAUGAAGGCCUUCGGGUUGUAAAGCACUUUUGGCAGGAAAGAAACGUCGCGGGUUAAUACCCCGCGGAACUGACGGUACCUGCAGAAUAAGCACCGGCUAACUACGUGCCAGCAGCCGCGGUAAUACGUAGGGUGCAAGCGUUAAUCGGAAUUACUGGGCGUAAAGCGUGCGCAGGCGGUUCGGAAAGAAAGAUGUGAAAUCCCAGAGCUUAACUUUGGAACUGCAUUUUUAACUACCGGGCUAGAGUGUGUCAGAGGGAGGUGGAAUUCCGCGUGUAGCAGUGAAAUGCGUAGAUAUGCGGAGGAACACCGAUGGCGAAGGCAGCCUCCUGGGAUAACACUGACGCUCAUGCA